UAAUUUUGAAUGUACAAACAAAUUGACCUUUCAAAAAGCACAUUUACCAAAUCCAAAACCUAAAUCCCCAAUCAGGUGAGCCCCAUUGUCGUCGAUGGUGAAGGAGGUGAAUAGUGGUGCCAUGUAACCAAAGCUUUGAAGAAUUGCUCCAUUGUGGCGCCUUGAAGCAGUUACCUCCUGUUCUCCUACUAGAAAAACGAAGUUAACUAGGUUUGAGGGUGUGGGAAUGUAAACUUGAGUUUACGAGUUGAUUAGUGAUUUUGAUAAACAUGCUCUCACUUCCUUUUUUAUUUGGUAAUUCUGGUUUUCAAUUCAAUGAUGAAUGCACUCAUUUGUAUGUUUUUAAGUGUGUUAGUGAAUGUAGUUAUCGGUACCUGUUAUGGUUGAAUGUGAUAUUAAAAGAAACAGAGUAUGCAUUUUUCUAGAGCAUUUGUUAUCAGUUUAACUGUAUUUGAAGGAACGCGACAUGGAAAGUCCCCACUCUGUGAACAGUUCAAGAAGAACUCUCCGUCUGUCAAAGCAGCGAAGGGCAACUGUGUCCUUUUUUUGACCCUGAUGACAAAACCUCUGGCUUUGGAUGUCUGGCGAUCAUGGCCCUAAGCCAUCUGAAGUUUAUGGUUUUUUAGGUUCUAUUAUUACCACUGUUGUUGCCACAGUUAUUUUCUUCAUAUGGGCAUGUGUUCCAGAAUCAUGGCAACAAUCUGCUGGCAUCUCGUACUAUCCUAGAGAUAUUGGGCUCUAGCAGUACCAACAUAUGUGAUGGUGGCCAUUCUUCUGAUGCUGGGAUUCUACAUUGGCCAUAACUUCAUAUCAACCCCUUCCCCUGCUCAUUUAAACGCAGUUUUUGAUGAAGUCAGCAGAAAUCCUUCGAGUAGCGAGUGUUCUCUAGAAGAUGAGAAACCCAUAGAUCCCAUUUCAGAUAUUGGCCUUGACAGAAUCAAUGAUAUCAUAUUCAUUAAUCCAAUGUUGUCACGGUGGGAAUUGCUGCCAAACAAGUGCUGCUAAUUUUGGUUGUUGUCGGGGAGGUUAUAGCUACGCAGGAAGGCCAGCAUACCAUUCUUCCUCGAAUUUUUUCUUCAAGGCUUCAAAUCCUGUGGUAACACACACAUACUCCAAUUUGGGAAGACCAGUUAAAGUUAUUUCGAUCAUUGGAAAGCUCAAUUGAAGCCCUGGUUUUGUGCUAUCUUGCCUCAUCACAGUGAAAAUGCUUGUCAUUGAACUACAAUUUCUAACCUCUAACAUCUUCAAAUUAUCAAGAUUUUUGGAAAGAUUAACUGGAAAAACAGUUCUCAAUUUCUCACAACCUUUGAUAUUUACGUUUUUCAGUUUCCAAAAUGAAUUUUCAGCAUCAUACUCCUCAUUCCAUAUUGUUGUCAAUUCACUAACCUGGGAAAUCACCAUUGUCUCCAGAUUAGGGCAAGAAACCUGCAUAAAUCAUAUGACAUUAAUCAAUACUAUUAGCAGUUUUUUAUCACAUGAUUGUUACUGCUGUAAUUAUCUAAGGGUUUCUGUAUUUGUUUGGUUUUUUAUACUUACAUCAUUGCUAUGCUUUGGUUAAGUAUUUAUAAAAAGGUUUAAGUACUAUACUUAAUCUUGCUAUGUUUUGGUUGAUAAACUACAUGAUUUAAUACCUUGUCAUGGAAAAGUGUAGCUGUAUUAUCAGUGGAAGAAGAGGAUCCUUCACUUGAGCAGAAACUGAUUAAUGCUGGGAGUCCUUGUAAGGUUAGAGAGCAUAAUUCAGGAAAUUCUAUGGGAUGAUUCUCUGCACCUUCAAAUAGCACAAUUGUCUUUAUGGAUGUGCACUGUGAAACUUUCAAAGUAGCAAUAUGAGGAAGACCAUUGAUCAUUGAUUUUGAGAAGAGACAGCCCAUUGCAUUGCACUUCUCUACUUUGAUGACUCUCAGUUUGAAGAAAGAUUUCUCAGAUAAAGGACCACCAUGGCAUAUGUACUCCAAAUUGCUUAGAAUGGUGAGAGACAGUGACUCCAAGUUCGGAAAAGUAUCAAGAGAAUCAUUACCUGACCCUGUGGAUAAGCAUUUGACUUCAGCAUUGUGUUGAAUGAAGAGAGACUGCACUUGUGGAAAGCCAUCACACUCCAUAUCAUUAACAACAUUCUGGACACCAUUCAGUGUAUCCAAGUACAAAACCUGAACUUCUUUCAGCAUCUUUUUUAUUCCAUUCUCUGAUUGAAACCUCCUGUUCAGCUUCAGUUUCAAUGUCUUCAAUUCAUGAUCACCAUAAUGUGCUCGGUCCCACCCGUUACCAAUGAAAAUUGUAUAUGAUCUUAGGUUUCCAAAGAACAAGUCCACAGGCCAUGCCUGCGGAUCAGGAACAUACAUGUCUUCUAUGUAUGCCAAGUGUUCCAAGUCUGUAAGCUCUUUCAAGCUUGCGUUCUUGUUUUCACUGCUAGACAUUUCAAUCUUCCAAUUACAGAAGGAGUUUCUCAAAUAUAAUUCUUCCAAGCUUGUCAAUUUGGAUAGGACAUUGGGUGGAAUCACUUGGAGAUUUGUGUCUCUUAAAUCCAAGAAUAGCAACUUCUCAAGCUUUACAAUUUGCGCAGGUAAUUGUUGGAUCCUACUUUCAAGGAGGCCUAGCAUUCGUAGAUUUGUGAGCUCACAAACUUCUGUAAUGUCUUCCAAUCCACAUUGAUACAUGGAUAAUGCUUCAAGGUCCUUUAAAACAACAAAACUAAGUGGCAGAUUUGGGCAAUGAAAGGAAACAAAAUCUAGCACUUUCAGAAGUUUAGUCUCCUCAAAAAAGGAAUCUGGAACAUCUAUUGUGGAAUUUUCCCUACUUAUCAGAAGAUGUUUCAAGUUUGGACACUGCAACCUUACGGGAAGCUUCAAAUCACCAACAGGAUGUAAGUUGCAGAAGUAAAGAUCUUUUAGCAAUUCUUCAGGUGGCCAUUCUCUGGAAAUCACUGAAGCUCUUCGAUCAUGUUGGGCCAUUCGAUAAGCAGUCUGAUAAUCUGCUGUUUCCAGAUUUUUGAAUACACCUGCCCACAUGUCUAUGUAGAUGCUAUAACUGUUAAUAAACCUUCUUCCCCUAAUAGUAAGAAGAUACAACAAUGAUUUGAGUUCCUCAUUUUCUUCCAAACAAUAGGACAAUAGUUUUGCUGGUGAAAUAUUUUCCUUCAACUGCAUCAAGGCAUCUGGGCCCUUAUUUUGUAAUGCCUUUGCUAGGGCAUAAAUUAAAGAAAUGGAACCUUCACAACUUCUCACUAUUUCUUCUACAAUGGAACUUUCCUGAUCUUCAUCAACACUUCCAACCAUCUUCUCAAACAACAUCUGAGCCUCUUCUUUUUGUAAUUCUUGUAAUUGAAACACUUUAGUAAGCUUAGAGGCACCCUUCAAAUAUUGUAUGAAGUUCAAAUUUCCUGAUGUCAACAGUACUUUGCACCCUUCAUGUUCAUUACCAGGAGGAACUCCAAAUUCCUCUAAGUCAAAUUCUUGUGGGUUCAAUUCCCCCCACGUAUCAUCAACUAUGAUGAGAGUCCUUUGCUCCCUUUUUA